ACAAGUGGGAGAGAUAACUUGCACAACUUAUUUGAUAUGAGGUCUUUGGAAGUUUGCAGUACAUUAAGAGCUACUGGAAACAGAGUGGCGUCUAAUUGGAGUCGCUCUUGCAUGAGUCCUGAUGACAACUAUGUUGCUGCUGGAUCAGCUGAUGGAUCUGUGUACAUUUGGUCAAUAUCUAAAGCUGAUAUUGUAAGCACUCUGAAAGAGCACACUUCUUCUGUCCUCUGUUGUUCGUGGAGUGGACUUGGAAAACCAUUAGCCACUGCUGACAAGAACGGAAUUAUGUAUACCUGGGCAUGAUGAUUUAUUUGUGCGCUUGUGAAUAUGACAAAUUGUUUAUCCAAAAUCUGGCUACGUUUCUCUGCAAAAUUUUAUUGCCUGGUUUCCAAACAAGUUGGUGAAAUGCUGGGAGUCAUGAGAUGAUAAAAGUUGCUUGAUCCCACGGUCGCCCAGCAUGAUUCUCGACGGAGGGGUGUGCCUGCCUAGGAAAGUUUACCGUUUUCAUAGAAAUACUACCGUAAAUGGGAAGCUAUGAACAGGUUGAUUACUUGUAAGUAUUGGAAGAGAAUGACAAAUUAAAUUCGUUGGAUGCGACUUUUGUGUCAUAUUGUUUAACCAUAUCU
rnacentral:misc_RNA from 1 species